rnacentral:snRNA from 1 species
UGGAUGUUCCAUCUGAAUGA